rnacentral:rRNA from 1 species
GGUUGAUCCUGCCAGAGGCGACCGCUUUUGGAGUUCGAUUAAGCCAUGUGAGUCGAGAGUCUUAGGGACUCGGCAUACUGCUCAGUAACACGUGGAUAACCUGCCCUAUCGUCUGGAAUAACCUCGGGAAACUGAGAAUAAGGCCGGAUAGUUCACAAUGCCUGGAACGGUUUGUGGAUAAAGGUAGGAUGGGUCUGCGGCGUAUCAGGUUGUAGGGGGUGUAACGGACCCCCUAGCCAUCGACGCGUACGGGUGUUGGGAGACAUAGCCCGGAGAUGGAUUCUGAGACACGAAUCCAGACCCUACGGGGUGCAGCAGGCGCCGAAACUUCACACUGCAGGAACUGUGAUGAGGGAACUCCAAGUGUGUGCAUUUAUGACACUUUCUGAACUCUAAUCGGUUCAGAAUAAGGCUGGGAAAGACCGGUGCCAGCCGCCGCGGUAAUACCGGCAGCUCAAGUGGUCGUCGCUUUUAUUGGGCCUAAAACGUCCGUAGCCUGUUUGGUAAAUCUGUGGGUAAAUCAACCAGCUUAACUGGUUGAAUUCUGCAGAGACUGCCAGACUAGGGACCGGGAGAGGUGUGGGGUACUCGAGGGGUAGGGGUAAAAUCCUGUCAUCCUUCGAGGACCACCAGUUGCGAAGGCGCCACACUGGAACGGAUCCGACGGUCAGGGACGAAGCCUAGGGGCACGAACCGGAUUAGAUACCCGGGUAGUCCUAGGUGUAAACGCUGUGAACUUGGUGUCGGGGGUCCGCAAGGGGUCCCCGGUGCCGGAGUGAAGAUGUUAAGUUCACUGCCUGGGGAGUCGGUCGCAAGGCUAAAACUCAAAUGAAUUGACGG